rnacentral:lncRNA from 1 species
GGUAUUAUUGAUAAGACAAUAAUUAAUAUUGCAUUGAAACUUGAAAGUGACAAGUAUUGUGAAACAAAAUUAUUCUCUAAAAUAGACAAGUAUUAUGAAACGGAUGAAGUAUAAUAUAUGAGAUUUGAAUUAUUUAUCAAGAUGUUACAAAUACAAGAAGAAAAUAGUUAAAUGGAAUGAACAUCCAAGGUGCAUUUUUGCUUUUGUUAUGAAGUGGUACAUUGUGGAUCCUUUCAAGAUGAUUUUGGUUAUCUUUCUUUCUUUUUGUGCUCUAAAUAAGUUGCAAAGUUCCAAUGCUUUCACAACUAACCAAGAGCAUUUCUUCAAGAAGUACCAAUGAUUUGAAAUUGAUAGCAUUUCUUCUCCAAUAUACCGAAAGUUAUUAUCAAUGCUUGAUUCAUCGAUGCCCCGUCAUAAGUAACUUUACCAAUCCAUAUUUAAUCAAAGAAAUCACACUCGUAUUGAGAUUCUUGUUAAUCUUUGUCAUAAUGAACAAUCGACCCAAUAAAACAAAGAAGACGAACAAAUAUGACAUCAUUAAUGACUUCCAUUGUAUCAUCCUUAUAAAAAUGAUGCUAAAAUUCAGGAGUUUUUCUCCCAUGGUAUCCAGGGAGACAAAAUGGCAAUGCUUUGAUGAUUAAGAGAAUAAAUAAAAACAAAAAAAAAUUGAAAUUAUGAAUAAUAGAUAAUAAAGAAGCUUUAUAUCUACCUAAAGACAUAGACAAA